UACGUAGGGGGCAAGCGUUGUCCGGAAUCAUUGGGCGUAAAGCGCGCGUAGGCGGUCCGGUAAGUCCGCUGUGAAAGUCAAAGGCUCAACCUUUGAAUGCCGGUGGAUACUGUCGGACUCGAGUCCGGAAGAGGCGAGUGGAAUUCCUGGUGUAGCGGUGGAAUGCGCAGACAUCAGGAGGAACACCAAUAGCGAAGGCAGCUCGCUGGGACGGUACUGACGCUAAGGCGCGAAAGCGUGGGGAGCGAACAGG
rnacentral:rRNA from 1 species